ensembl:lncRNA
GCCAAAGACGGAGGAGCUCUGCCUCUGAGAAAGGAAGCCGCUCGCAGGAGCAGCUGGCUUCAGCAUGGCUGGAAGCUUCUCGAGGGCACAACCCACCUAGUUUAUGACUGCACCCAUCAUGUGUCUGGCUUGGUUCCUGGCAUGUAAGAAGGACUCAGAAGAAGUGUGCCAGUCCAAUGAGUAGCAGGGAAGGAGAAGGCUGAGUAUUCAAAGUUACAAAGCAGAAUCAGAGUACCUGCCAUUCAACAGAGGAAAACGCAUCGCAUCCAGUGCAAAGAGGAAAAGGAGCCCUGGGCUUCUCAUUAAGUCCCCGUGGGUCCUCAGCCCAGCAUACCAUCACGGAUGUAGCGACUGGAGACAACAUACAUCUCUUGUUUCGCAGUCCCUGUGGGUCCUCAGCCCAGCAUCUCCCAGGCUGUGGUCAAGGUGUCAGCUGGGAUUGUGACCUCAUAGAUGGAGAAGCAGGGCGUCCAAGCAAACACGCUGCCAACGGGCUCAGACAUCUUUCCUAGUUUUGAGGAGACCCCGCUUUGUGUGACCAGCUCUCCACCCUUUCCGUCCAAGACCAGAGAAAGCAGCAAGAGCUGCCGUCGCCGACUGGACCCUCCGGGCUAGGCUGGGAGGGCUCCUGUGUUACUUUAUUUGGUUUCUUUCAUCCUUAAACUGGUCACGUGGGGUCAGAACUCUUUUUAUCCACCCUUCACAGAUGAGUAAACUGAGG